rnacentral:rRNA from 1 species
AUUGAACGCUGGCGGCAGGCUUAACACAUGCAAGUCGAGCGAGCGGCAGACGGGUGAGUCCUGUCUGAGAAACUGCCUGAAGGAGGGGGAUUACUACUGGAAACGGUAGCUAAUACAGCAUACCAUAAGAUGGGCCAAUAUGGGCUUAGCUAGUAGGUGGGGUAAUGGCUCACCUAGGCGACGAUCCCUAGCGGGUCUGAGAGGAUGACCAGUCACACUGGAACGGAGACACGGUCCAGACUCCUACGGGAGGCAGCAGUGGGGAAUAUUGCACAAUGGGCGCAAGCCUGAUUCAGUCAUGCCGCGUUGGUGUAGAAGGCCUUCGGGUUGUAAAGCACUGUCAGCGAGGAGGCGUUACUCGCAGAAGAAGCACCGGCUAACUCCGGGCCAGCAGCCGCGGUAAUAC